CAGUAGCCGCGGGAAUACAGAGGGUGCGAGCGUUAAUCGGAUUUACUGGGCGUAAAGCGUGCGUAGGCGGCUUCUUAAGUCGGAUGUGAAAUCCCUGAGCUUAACUUAGGAAUUGCAUUCGAUACUGGGAAGCUAGAGUAUGGGAGAGGAUGGUAGAAUUCCAGGUGUAGCGGUGAAAUGCGUAGAGAUCUGGAGGAAUACCGAUGGCGAAGGCAGCCAUCUGGCCUAAUACUGACGCUGAGGUACGAAAGCAUGGGGAGCAAACAGGAUUAGAGACCCGUGUAGUCCCUGUCUCUUAUAC
rnacentral:rRNA from 1 species